AGACCCGAAACCCGGUGAUCUAGCCAUGGGCAGGUUGAAGGUUGGGUAACACUAACUGGAGGACCGAACCGACUAAUGUUGAAAAAUUAGCGGAUGACCUGUGGCUGGGGGUGAAAGGCCAAUCAAACCGGGAGAUAGCUGGUUCUCCCCGAAAGCUAUUUAGGUAGCGCCUCGUGAAUUCAUCUCCGGGGGUAGAGCACUGUUUCGGCUAGGGGGCCAUCCCGGCUUACCAACCCGAUGCAAACUGCGAAUACCGGAGAAUGUUAUCACGGGAGACACACGGCGGGUGCUAACGUCCGUCGUGAAGAGGGAAACAACCCAGACCGCCAGCUAAGGUCCCAAAGUCAUGGUUAAGUGGGAAACGAUGUGGGAAGGCCCAGACAGCCAGGAUGUUGGCUUAGAAGCAGCCAUCAUUUAAAGAAAGCGUAAUAGCUCACUGGUCGAGUCGGCCUGCGCGGAAGAUGUAACGGGGCUAAACCAUGCACCGAAGCUGCGGCAGCGAACGUAUCACCCAAGACAACUUUACGGAGUUGACGAUUGACGGAGCGAAGCGACGUCAAAGCGUUCAUUAAAGUCGAGUUGGCUUAGGGAUACGUUCGUUGGGUAGGGGAGCGUUCUGUAAGCCUGUGAAGGUGUGUCGUGAGGCAUGCUGGAGGUAUCAGAAGUGCGAAUGCUGACAUAAGUAACGAUAAAGCGGGUGAAAAGCCCGCUCGCCGGAAGACCAAGGGUUCCUGUCCAACGUUAAUCGGGGCAGGGUGAGUCGACCCCUAAGGCGAGGCCGAAAGGCGUAGUCGAUGGGAAACGGGUUAAUAUUCCCGUACUUGGUGUUACUGCGAAGGGGGGACGGAGAAGGCUAUGUUGGCCGGGCGACGGUUGUCCCGGUUUAAGCGUGUAGGUGUGUGUUCCAGGUAAAUCCGGUUCACUUUAACACUGAGGCGUGACGACGAGGCACUACGGUGCUGAAGCAACAAAUGCCCUGCUUCCAGGAAAAGCCUCUAAGCAUCAGGUAACAUCAAAUCGUACCCCAAACCGACACAGGUGGUCAGGUAGAGAAUACCAAGGCGCUUGAGAGAACUCGGGUGAAGGAACUAGGCAAAAUGGUGCCGUAACUUCGGGAGAAGGCACGCUGACACGUAGGUGAAGUGAUUUACUCAUGGAGCUGAAGUCAGUCGAAGAUACCAGCUGGCUGCAACUGUUUAUUAAAAACACAGCACUGUGCAAACACGAAAGUGGACGUAUACGGUGUGACGCCUGCCCGGUGCCGGAAGGUUAAUUGAUGGGGUCAGCGCAAGCGAAGCUCCUGAUCGAAGCCCCGGUAAACGGCGGCCGUAACUAUAACGGUCCUAAGGUAGCGAAAUUCCUUGUCGGGUAAGUUCCGACCUGCACGAAUGGCGUAAUGAUGGCCAGGCUGUCUCCACCCGAGACUCAGUGAAAUUGAACUCGCUGUGAAGAUGCAGUGUACCCGCGGCAAGACGGAAAGACCCCGUGAACCUUUACUAUAGCUUGACACUGAACAUUGAGCCUUGAUGUGUAGGAUAGGUGGGAGGCUUUGAAGUGUGGACGCCAGUCUGCAUGGAGCCGACCUUGAAAUACCACCCUUUAAUGUUUGAUGUUCUAACGUGGACCCGUGAUCCGGGUUGCGGACAGUGUCUGGUGGGUAGUUUGACUGGGGCGGUCUCCUCCUAAAGAGUAACGGAGGAGCACGAAGGUUGGCUAAUCCUGGUCGGACAUCAGGAGGUUAGUGCAAUGGCAUAAGCCAGCUUGACUGCGAGCGUGACGGCGCGAGCAGGUGCGAAAGCAGGUCAUAGUGAUCCGGUGGUUCUGAAUGGAAGGGCCAUCGCUCAACGGAUAAAAGGUACUCCGGGGAUAACAGGCUGAUACCGCCCAAGAGUUCAUAUCGACGGCGGUGUUUGGCACCUCGAUGUCGGCUCAUCACAUCCUGGGGCUGAAGUAGGUCCCAAGGGUAUGGCUGUUCGCCAUUUAAAGUGGUACGCGAGCUGGGUUUAGAACGUCGUGAGACAGUUCGGUCCCUAUCUGCCGUGGGCGCUGGAGAACUGAGGGGGGCUGCUCCUAGUACGAGAGGACCGGAGUGGACGCAUCACUGGUGUUCGGGUUGUCAUGCCAAUGGCACUGCCCGGUAGCUAAAUGCGGAAGAGAUAAGUGCUGAAAGCAUCUAAGCACGAAACUUGCCCCGA
rnacentral:rRNA from 1 species